UCCAGUUGUAAUCUGCAUCUGCUAGCCAAAAAGGAGGCAAUAAUAAAUAUUGAGAACUCUUCCAGAAGCAUCGACAAAGAAAAAGGGGAAGCAAUUACCAAAAACAAUGAAAUUAUUAUCACGAGAAAAAAAUGGACAUCAUUCUGGAUAAUCAAAGGGUUUUUUUGGGUCUAAUAAUAGUUUCAAUAUCUAUAGAAACAUGGAUCUGUUCCACACCCAUGGAAGCAACAGCAAAUGGUAUUAAUCAUAAGAAUUCUAUAUAAUUAUCUAAAAUUUGUAUUACUAUUUCCUAUUUCAUUUUGUAAUGAGAAUGAGAAUUCUAAAUAUUUGCAUAUUCUCAGAAUCAUUCAGUAAACAUAAAAUUGUUAAAAAGGUAAGGAAAAACAUAAAAGAAAACCAGAGGACAAAAUUAGCCACUGUAUCAUUGCUUGGGGUUGCAUGAUAACUAAAAUUUGAAUGAUAGGAAAAGGCUAAAUCUAAAAGUAUACUUUGUACCAUUAAAAACCCUACCACCUUUAAUAUGCACUUAUUUAGUUCAUUCAUUUAUUGCAACCGUAGAAGCACAUAUUCAAAAGAAACAAUACAUUGCC
rnacentral:misc_RNA from 1 species